rnacentral:rRNA from 1 species
GGGCGAAGCCUGAUCCAGCCAUGCCGCGUGUGUGAAGAAGGCUUUCGGGUUGUAAAGCACUUUCAGCGAGGAAGAAAGCCUCUGGGUUAAUACCCCAGAGGAAGGACAUCACUCGCAGAAGAAGCACCGGCUAACUCCGUGCCAGCAGCCGCGGUAAUACGGAGGGUGCGAGCGUUAAUCGGAAUUACUGGGCGUAAAGCGCGCGUAGGUGGCUUGGCACGCCGGUUGUGAAAGCCCCGGGCUCAACCUGGGAACGGCAUCCGGAACGGCCAGGCUAGAGUGCAGGAGAGGAAGGUAGAAUUCCCGGUGUAGCGGUGAAAUGCGUAGAGAUCGGGAGGAAUACCAGUGGCGAAGGCGGCCUUCUGGCCUGACACUGACACUGAGGUGCGAAAGCGUGGGUAGCAAACAGGAUUAGAUACCCUGGUAGUCCACGCCGUAAACGAUGUCGACUAGCCGUUGGGACCUUUAAGGACUUAGUGGCGCAGUUAACGCGAUAAGUCGACCGCCUGGGGAGUACGGCCGCAAGGUUAAAACUCAAAUGAAUUGACGGGGGCCCGCACAAGCGGUGGAGCAUGUGGUUUAAUUCGAUGCAACGCGAAGAACCUUACCUACCCUUGACAUCCAGAGAACUUUCCAGAGAUGGAUUGGUGCCUUCGGGAACUCUGAGACAGGUGCUGCAUGGCUGUCGUCAGCUCGUGUUGUGAAAUGUUGGGUUAAGUCCCGUAACGAGCGCAACCCUUGUCCUUAUUUGCCAGCGAUUCGGUCGGGAACUCUAAGGAGACUGCCGGUGACAAACCGGAGGAAGGUGGGGACGACGUCAAGUCAUCAUGGCCCUUACGGGUAGGGCUACACACGUGCUACAAUGGCCCGG